rnacentral:rRNA from 1 species
CCUUGCACUCUGGGAUAAGCCUGGGAAACUGGGUCUAAUACCGGAUAUGACCUUCGACUGCAUGGUCGAGGGUGGAAAGAUUUAUCGGUGCAAGAUGAGCCCGCGGCCUAUCAGCUUGUUGGUGGGGUAAUGGCCUACCAAGGCGACGACGGGUAGCCGGCCUGAGAGGGCGACCGGCCACACUGGGACUGAGACACGGCCCAGACUCCUACGGGAGGCAGCAGUGGGGAAUAUUGCACAAUGGGCGGAAGCCUGAUGCAGCGACGCCGCGUGAGGGAUGACGGCCUUCGGGUUGUAAACCUCUUUCGACUCCGACGAAGCGAGAGUGACGGUAGGAGUAUAAGAAGCACCGGCCAACUACGUGCCAGCAGCCGCGGUAAUACGUAGGGUGCGAGCGUUGUCCGGAAUUACUGGGCGUAAAGAGCUUGUAGGCGGCUUGUCGCGUCGAUCGUGAAAAACUCGGGGCUCAACCCCGAGCUUGCGGUCGAUACGGGCAGGCUUGAGUACUU